rnacentral:tmRNA from 1 species
GGGGGCGAUUCGGUUUCGACGGGGAUAAUUGAUGCUCAUGUUGCAUGUCGAGGUCCCAUCCAGCUCGUUAAACGGUGGAAGACGAAUAAUCGUCAACACAGAAUACGCUUUGGCAGCUUAAUUAAGCAGCCCGUUUCUCCUUCUUUUACUCAUGGGGAAGACAGAAAUGACAGAUACAUGAGGUAGGUUUUUAUCCGGCACCUGCGGGGUGAUUACUGAAAAAUUAGCGGGUUAGCCUCUGAAAAAGCCAUUCCGGAAGCGGUUUCAGAGGUGAAAUUAAAAUCCGGAAUAAGCAUGUAGACGCAUGAAGCUGAAGAUCUUCGGACGCGGGUUCGAUUCCCGCCGCCUCCACCA